rnacentral:rRNA from 1 species
AGUGAACGCUGGCGGUAGGCCUAACACAUGCAAGUCGAACGGCAGCACAGUAAGAGCUUGCUCUUACGGGUGGCGAGUGGCGGACGGGUGAGGAAUACAUCGGAAUCUACUUUUUCGUGGGGGAUAACGUAGGGAAACUUACGCUAAUACCGCAUACGACCUACGGUUGAAAGCAGGGGAUCUUCGGACCUUGCGCGAUUGAAUGAGCCGAUGUCGGAUUAGCUAGUUGGCGGGGUAAAGGCCCACCAAGGCGACGAUCCGUAGCUGGUCUGAGAGGAUGAUAGGCGGCACUGGAGGUGAGACACGGUCAAGACUCCUAAGAGAGGCAGCAGUCGGGUAUAUUAGACAGUAGGGGCAAACCUGAUACAGCCAGCCCGCGUGUGUGAAAGAGGCCUUCGGGGUGUAAUGACCUUUUGUUGGGAGAGAAAAGCAGCAGGUUAAUACCAAGCUGGAGUGACGGUACCCAAAAAAUAAGCACCGGCUAACUACGUG